CGCUGAUGAAGCAGCAGCAGCAUUUCGGUGUCCUGUGAUUCUUAAUGCUAAUAUUUUCCCCACCAGGCGGUGGCGCUACUACAUAAAUACACCAUUAGACACGCAGGAGAAGAAAAAGUCCUGCUGCAUUCAGAAUCAUCCAGCAUUAUUUUUCCCGCCUGUUCAUUUCUGAGUACUAAUGUAGGAAAAGCACCUGGACUGCAGCAAGCAGCACAAUGACGACGACUCCUGACACCGCAGACCGCUGUGAAGGAGUGCCGGACCCGGAGCAGGGAGCGAUGGGAGACAGCCAAAGCAUUAAAGAGAGACUGCUGAGGAUGUAUAACAAAGCAACCCAGCCGAUCCUUUCCUCGUCUCUUCACCAGUCAGACAACGAACACUGACCAACCCGGACAAGAAGAAAAUCACCCCAGAAGAAAGAACCCCCGUAUUUAGGUUCUGUGUGCUGUUCAGACCCAAAACAGCAUGCAGUCAGUGUGAUCCAGAGGGUGAGACGUCCCGCUGUUCAAAUAAACCACACUUCACAUUAGAACUCUGGUGUCACUGGACCUCGUGAGGUGGGAGAAGGGCGACAUUUAGGUGCUUAAGUCACACCUGCCCUUCAAGCACCAAUAACGUCAAGAAUAGGAAAGGAGUCACCAGAGCGGAUCGAGGACAAUCAGGAGACCGGCUACCAUCCACCUGACGUCACACCACCUGAGAAAGAUACACAGAUUUCAGUAGCUGGACACUGAAUUAUUGUGUGACGUAUUUCAGUGAGAAUAUUCAUGAUGAUGGAACUGAAAACCCUUUUGGGAACAGUGUCUGAUGAUUUAUGUCUUUCAUCCUGUACUAUUUAUCCAUGUUUCAGUUUUUGUAGUCGUGUCCUAUUGAAUGAUCCAAUAUUACAAUGAUUCAAACUUGACUCUGGAGUUUGUCUAUGAAGGACAAAAAGGGUUGUGGCUCUGUUCUUUGGCAGUUUGUGGGUCUCUUGUGGUUGGGAAGUAGUUCUCAAACUCUUUUUAAAGCAAAGACAGGUGAUCGUGCACCAGCUGGGAGAAUCAAGGCUCAGGCUCACCAUUAAUCCACGCUAAUGUUUGAAACAUCUAAAACGUCCCCACAAAUCCAGUUGGGCUUUAAAUGCAGCUACUUUAUCUGCCAUCUUGAAGACAGUUAUGAUUUUCCCCUGAAGUGACAGAUUGAGUUCAUUGAGCAGGCAGAAUAUGUCUCACAAGUAAGUUAGUUUUGUGAUCCAUUCCUUGUGACUGAACUGCUGCCAGUGGUGACUUCUUUUCUGAUAGAUCUUUGCAGCAGCUUCAGAAUCAUCACCCUGGAGUGCGUAUCAUGAUGAUGUAUUAAUCCUCUCCAACAAUUCUCAAUGUCUUCCAGCAUUUCCUCAAUGCAGCGAGUAACUGUGUAGCUGACAGAGGCACCUGUGCUUCUUUUUAACAGCAGCCUCUCCUAGAAGUUCACAGCAAAUGUCUUCAGUGGAGGGCAAGAUCAUGUCUUCACCAGUAGUCAAUGGCUUUUUAGCCUUAGCAAUACGGUUAGCCACCAAGUAUGAUGCUCUCAGUGCAUUCACUUUUAUUGAUGUGGUGGCCCUCAGUAUUUCCUUCUGUUCAUGUUCCUGCUUUUUUUUCUUUCACUAUACUCCGGGGGUUUAUCUUUUAAUCCAGGGUGCUUAGUCUCCACGUGGUGAAGCAGUUUUGAAGGCUUCAAUGCCUCAUUAGAGAGCUGGUCACUGCAUGUUAUGCAGAGUGGGCUUGGUGUGUGGGAAUGAUCACCUGUCAUGAUAAAUCCAUAUUUCUUUUAAGCUUUCUUCUUUUGUUUUGGAACUCAUCGUCUCUUCUGUCUCUUCACUCAUUCACUCACACUUUUCCCCUUCGCAAAGAAACUUUCCAAACACAUCUGUCUCUCACUCAUGUGGCUAGCUUAGGGUUACAUUUUGGAGAUCUAACUGAGAAAAUACGUUCAUUUUUCAAAAUAAAAGUUCCUUCAGACUCGGAUAAUGAACAAAACAGAACUAGUGAAUGAUUUCUUGUGUGGACCGCUAGCAAUUGAUCCACGGGCCGGUACCGGGGGUUUGGGAAAACUGAUUUACACUCUUUAAGCUUUACUGUGGAUCAAUUAAUCAAGAUCACUAUGCUGUUAUCCUGAAGCUAACAGAAAUAACAGACAUGGGAAAAGCACAUUAAUACACAUGCCACUGAUUAAUAGAUAUAAACUUAUUAAAUUAUUUUAUAUAUAUAUAUAUAUAUAUAUAUAUAUAUAUAAGUUUAUAUGCAUGUGUAUUAAUAUAUAAACACACACAUGUACAGAAUCCUUGACGUGAUCUCUCCUCAGUGUAAAUUGGUCUGCUGUACUCACUGCUACUGCUGCUGUGGUCACUGUCUCUUAUGUGGAACAGCUGGACUACUCUCACUGCCUGCAUCUGCCUGGGAGCUCUUUCACUGAUACGACUGACUCUUCUGUGUGUACAUGCUUUUGCUUUUCCUCUCUGUGCUGUUUGUGGGGGUCCUGCAGUUCUCAUCUUCUGUUACAUCUACAUUAACAGACCGACAUGUCGAACCUACUUAAAACCCCACUAGUGACCCACAGACCAACAACAUACACAACUUUUACAAGCCCAAUUACAAUGAUGGAGCCUUCAAAUAUAUUUAAAUAUAUAUAAAUAUAUGCAUUCUUUAAUAUAAUUAGUGUCUUACAGAUGUAUAAAAAUAAAAGCCUGACACGACUAGCUUUAAAAAACUUUAGUAGCACACAGACCAAACAACUGUAAAAUAAUAUAUACAAGUCCAAUCAUAAUGAUAAUUAAAUAAAGUGAUGAAUAUCGAAAGCUACUAAGUUCACAUAAAUACAUGGAGUGUAUGUUAAAUAUAAAAAAAUAAAUAAAGGCCUGAUGCUACAAUCCUUAAAACAACCUGAUUAAUAGCUCACAGCCCAAACAAUUAUCAAAGGAAAGAACCAAAGAGAUAAUACAAUACACAAUACACUGCCUUGUGGUAGCUGAAGUACGUUUGGAGCACUCCUGAUUCAGUACAGACUUUGGGUGGUGAUGUGUAAACAUGAUCGAGGGGUGUGCACUUCUCUGUGAUUGAUGGUUAUACAGUCACAACUGUUACUGGAGCAUUGAUCUUGAUAAGCAGGAACUCAAGAUCAGUCAACUUUAUGUAUUUACUGUCUGUCCUGGGCUUGAAUCAGUUCUGUACAGAACAGAACAUCUUUCUUUUUUGUCAUCUCCGUAUAUGUCAUGUAGGAGACGUGUCUUCUGCAGGUAAACAUAGUGUCAUCUUUCAGCUGUAGAUUUGGUGGAAUGAAGAGCCAGACAAGUGACUUUCCAUUGUGCACAGAAUAUCUGAAAGCGACGUGUGAUGGGUGAGAGAGCAGUCCUUGUACAUUGUGAUGGACGAUUUUAAUACUCUGGGUGUGUGUUGUGAGCUGGACAUGCUCUAAAAGUGGCAUAACAUCAUUGAGAGCGUUUUUAUGCCUUGA